UAGGACGGUCACAGGGGCAGGGUUCACCCAGACUCAUUCGAACCUGGCAGUUAAACCAGCCUCCGUACCGGACUGUACUGCACUACGCGGGAACUCCGGUAAGCUGUCCACU
rnacentral:rRNA from 1 species